rnacentral:lncRNA from 1 species
GUUUAAUAAUUCACCAUGUAAAAUUAUUUGAUGAACCUCCGUAACAAGAAAAAAAAAUGUUUUUUUAAAUGAAAUAAAUGUUUUUUUUCCCAUCAGGAGCCAUUUUCGACCUGGAUCUGAAUCUGGAUCUGAAUCUGGAUCUGAAUCUGGAUUUGAAUCAGAAUCUGAAUCUGGAUCUGAAUCUGGAUCUGGAUCUGAAUCUGGAUCUGAAUCUGGAUCCAGCUGUGUGUCCUUCAGGAGUGACAAGUCAAAGGACUUUAAUCCUGACUUCAAGUCCAUCAGUCCAGGAGUGAAACAGAGCCAUUUUCGACCUGGAUUUGAAUCAGAAUCUGAAUCUGGAUCUGAAUCUGGAUCUGGAUCUGAAUCUGGAUCUGAAUCUGGAUCUGAAUCUGGAUUUGAAUCAGAAUCUGAAUCUGGAUCUGAAUCUGAAUCUGGAUCUGAAUCUGAAUCUGAAUCUGGAUCUGGAUCUGGAUCUGAAUCAGGAUCUGGAUCUGAAUCUGAAUCUGGAUCUGAAUCUGGAUCCAGCUGUGUGUCCUUCAGGAGUGACAAGUCAAAGGACUUUAAUCCUGACUUCAAGUCCAUCAGUCCAGGAGUGAAACAGAGCCAUUUUCGACCUGGAUCUGAAUCUGGAUCUGAAUCUGAAUCUGGAUCUGAAUCUGGAUCUGAAUCUGGAUUUGAAUCAGAAUCUGAAUCUGGAUCUGAAUCUGGAUCUGGAUCUGAAUCUGGAUCUGAAUCUGGAUCCAGCUGUGUGUCCUUCAGGAGUGACAAGUCAAAGGACUUUAAUCCUGACUUCAAGUCCAUCAGUCCAGGAGUGAAACAGUAAGUGUUUGUCAGAGUUAAAGGAGGCUGGAUAAUAGUUCAGAUGAUCAAUAGUUUUCAGAUAAAUGAUUGAGAUCUGGUUCAGUUUUUGAUCUCUCUGAUCAGACUCACUUGGAGCUAAGGCUGGGCAUUGGUUAUAAUUUCCAGAAUCGAUUCGAUUUCA